GUUGAAAUUAAGGUGCAACGGAUUGUUUAAACAACGUCGAAAUCCCCGAAUCUGUAUCUAAUAAGGAUUCAAAAGUUCUGUUGGGUACCUUCAGAUCCAGGGUAUAACCUGGUACGAAAUCUUACUUUUUGGUAGCAU